rnacentral:rRNA from 1 species
GUCUACUGCCAUGCCACCCUGAACAUGCCUAAUCUCAUCCGAUCUCGGAAGCUAAGCAAGGUCCGGCCUAGUUAGUACUUGGAUGGGAGACCACCUUGGAAUACCAGGUGCUAUAGACA